GUUGUCACUGUCCUAUCGAAGUUCACUUUGUCAUAAUCGCUGCAUAAGCACUCGGAACUACUCAACGAAUAUCUAUAAAAGAGCCCAAACCAGCAGUUAUGGAUGAAAACUCCCGAAACACACCUCACGCUCUGCUUCAAUUCACAUGUUCCUUGUGGGCCUGACCGAGGUGCAAUGACCAUCGGCGCGACGAAUAUCUUGCUGGAAGAACCGUGAAGUUCUUUAUGCUUCGCUAUUCUGGUGGGCGGUGAACCAUUUUUGUCAGAUUCCAGUUCAAUGACAGCAUCAUGAUUAGGAAAAACAGUACAAUGAUUGAUGGGAUUGCCUCAGGACUACUUGGUCCUGAGGUUGAUGAGGUAGCUAGAGCACAGGCCAAGAAAGGCGCACUUCUUGGGUACUAAGCUUGUAAAUUUGCUAUGAGUUAUGGUUUUCAUUUUCUUUGGGCUGAUUCGAGAUGGGUAUUGAGUUAGAUCAUCAAUGAAGCAUCGCUCUCUGGAAUUCAAUCCUGUAUUGGGUAUUUUAGAGCAGGACGUAUUGAUGAAGUUCCAGAGUGGCACUCGGAUCCGAGACGCGGGAGAAUUGGCUUGAACUCCUCGGUCAUCACUUUUAGUCUGAAGAGUUGCGUGGAGUUGAACCAUUCAGAAUUAGGGGGAGGAGUUCGGUGGAUGCUUUCAGGUUUGGUCUCGUUGCAGUUGUAUUAGGGGGGUUCAGCUCUUACAAAUUUGUACUCAACACGGGGGACAUUGAGCAUGCAUCCAAGUUGUUUGACUAAAUGACUGUUAGAGAUGUUGCAAAUACCUCGAUUGUUACGGGGCUUACUAUUAUAUUUUCUGGCAGAAGGUCUCACAAAAUCUUACAGGAAGAAUGAGACAAAACCAAAUCUGAGUCACUCAAGUGAGUUUAUUGCAAGCAACAGCAGAGUUGGGAGUACCCGGGAUUGGUGCCUCCGUUCAUGAUCUUGCAUUUAAAAGAGGAAUCUGUUGUUCUGAUGAA